CUCAGCUGUUCAUUCGCCGCGAUCGCGGCGCCAUCUUCUACAGUUACGAAGAUGGCGCGGUCGACGUAUGCGGUAGUUUUUAACCAUCUGAAGAUUCGAACAAAUUUCGUGUAUUGUGUGCGAAUGUUCAUACUGUUGUUGACGGCAUGUAUCCUGUUUGCUUGCGACAAUGAUUGCAUACAACAUAAAAUUCAUUGUUAUUCUUCAAUGAAUCUAUAUAGACACCUGGGAUGAGCUGAUUCUUCGGAUUAGUGGCCCAUCGGCGACCUUGACCGGCAAUCGAAGGGUUCAAAUGGACGGGUGAAUCAACGAGGUCCGCAUGGUUUGCUUUGAAGGCAAAGGCGUGUCCAGCGGAAGCCACGAUUCAUCGUCGAACAAAGACAGACUCGAUAAUAGAGAGACAGAAGAGCUUAAGAACAACUGACUGCGACUUCUCGAGGAAGAAAGGGGAAACGCUUAUGCGGCCGAUUGAUUAAAAGCUCAUGCGGUACUCAGAGCGUCGCGUGAAUUUUUAAUGAGGGAAGCGGAGGCUGAAGGAGAACCGAUAGACUUCCAAGUAGCGCGAUCGGCUUUCGAGAUGACGCUUCCAUCCCUUUUGAGAGGACCACGGCCUGGAGGAGAGUGCUAGGCUGGAGAACGCAAAGGGUGCUCGAACACCCUUUGUCCGCGAUGAAGACUCGGCCCCUCGAACAGGUACCUCGCGACCCCGUGAAUCUUUCCUCAAUUUGGAAGCUGUCCAGCUAUUUCGUGAAUAGAGGUUCCUCACGUCUCUUCGCUCACUCAUGGACGAGCGUGUCAUCGACGAGGUCCUAGAAAGUACACUAGAAGCUUCGGUAUGCGAACAUUCUAUUAUUCUGAACAGCUGUUAAGUGAAUGAUCUCUUAUAUAUAUUUUUUUAUUACAAUACUGUAUGUAAAUAUAUGUAUAUAAAUAAAUGCUUACACGUA